GACGAACGCUGGCGGCGUGCUUAACACAUGCAAGUCGAACGGAAAGGCCCUGCUUGCAGGGUGCUCGGAUGGCGAACGGGUGAGUAACACGUGGGUGAUCUGCCCCUUACUUUGCGAUAAGCAUGGGAAACUAGGUCUAGUACUGGCUAGGUCCAUGCUGUAGGCGCUGUGGUGGAAAGAUUAGUUUCGGUUAGGGAGGAGCUCGCGGCCUAUCAGCUUGUUUGUGGGGUAAUGGCCUACCAAGGCGUCGACGGGUAGCCGGCCUGAGGGGGUGGACGGCCACAUUGGGACUGAGAGACGGGCAAGACUCCUACGGGUGGGAGCAGUGGGGAAUGUUGCACAAUGGGAGGAAGCCUGAUGCAGCGACGCCGCGUGGGGGAUGACGGCCUUCGGGUUGUAAACUCCUUUCAGCCAUGACGAAGCCCUUGUGGUGACGGUAGUGAUAGAAGAAGCACCGGCUAACUACGUG
rnacentral:rRNA from 1 species